rnacentral:rRNA from 1 species
AUUGAACGCUGGCGGAAUGCUUUACACAUGCAAGUCGAGCGGCAGCGCGGGGGCAACCCUCGGCGGCGAGCGGCGAACGGGUGGAGUAACAUAUCGGAACGUACCCAGUCGUGGGGGAGUAACUAUCCGAAAGGAUAGCUAAUACCGCAUACGUCCUGAGGGAGAAAGCGGGGGAUCGCAAGACCUCGCGCGAUUGGAGCGGCCGAUAACGGAUUAGCUAGUUGGUGGGGGUAAAGGCUCACCAAGGCGACGAUCCGUAGCGGGUCUGAGAGGACGACCCGCCACACUGGAACUGAGACACGGUCCAGACUCCUAC